AGACACCCUCAUGGGGCAAGACUUGCUUCAGUGGGGCUUUGUUGCUCACUGAAUCUGCCCCCUGAGUGUGUCCCU
rnacentral:pre_miRNA from 1 species